rnacentral:misc_RNA from 1 species
UCUCCGUAGGUGAACCUGCGGAGGGAUCAUUACAGAGUUCUCGCCCUUACGGGUAGAUCUCCCACCCACUGUUAUCGUUACUGUCGUUUCUUUGGCGGGCCGCCGGGUCCCCCGGCCGCCGGCGUCGAAUAGGCGGCCCGCGCACGACAGCGGUCUUCAAACUCUGAAUGUUAGUGUCGUCUGAGUACUAUAUAAUAGUUAAAACUUUCAACAACGGAUCUCUUGGUUCUG